rnacentral:pre_miRNA from 1 species
CCAGUCGUAGCCGAUGUUCCACAGGGGGCCCAGGACAGACCCAUGCGGAGCACCGCGCUCGACGGG